rnacentral:rRNA from 1 species
UGGGGAAUUUUGGACAAUGGGCGAAAGCCUGAUCCAGCAAUGCCGCGUGUGUGAAGAAGGCCUUCGGGUUGUAAAGCACUUUUGUCCGGAAAGAAAUGGCUCUGGUUAAUACCUGGGGUCGAUGACGGUACCGGAAGAAUAAGGACCGGCUAACUACGUGCCAGCAGCCGCGGUAAUACGUAGGGUCCAAGCGUUAAUCGGAAUUACUGGGCGUAAAGCGUGCGCAGGCGGUUGUGCAAGACCGAUGUGAAAUCCCCGAGCUUUACUUGGGAAUUGCUUUGGUGACUGCACGGCUAGAGUGUGUCAGAGGGGGGUAGAAUUCCACGUGUAGCAGUGAAAUGCGUAGAGAUGUGGAGGAAUACCGAUGGCGAAGGCAGCCCCCUGGGAUAACACUGACGCUCAUGCACGAAAGCGUGGGGAGCAAACAGG